rnacentral:rRNA from 1 species
AUCAGGUAGGGAUACCCGCUGAACUUAAGCAUAUCAAUAAGCGGAGGAAAAGAAACCAACAGGGAUUACCUCAGUAACGGCGAGUGAAGCGGUAAGAGCUCAAAUUUGAAAGCUGGCUCCUUCGGGGUCCGCAUUGUAAUUUGCAGAGGAUGUUUCGGGAGCAGCCCCCAUCUAAGUGUCCUGGAACGGACCGUCAUAGAGGGUGAGAAUCCCGUAUGGGAUGGGGUGUCUGCGCCCAUGUGAAACUCCUUCGACGAGUCGAGUUGUUUGGGAAUGCAGCUCUAAAUGGGUGGUAAAUUUCAUCUAAAGCUAAAUAUUGGCCGGAGACCGAUAGCGCACAAGUAGAGUGAUCGAAAGAUGAAAAGCACUUUGAAAAGAGAGUUAAAAAGCACGUGAAAUUGUUGAAAGGGAAGCGCUUGCAAUCAGACUUGUUUAAACUGUUCGGCCGGUCUUCUGACCGGUUUACUCAGUUUGGACAGGCCAGCAUCAGUUUCGGCGGCCGGAUAAAGGCUCUGGGAAUGUGGCCUUCACUUCGGUGAAGGUGUUAUAGCCCAGGGUGUAAUACGGCCAGCCGGGACUGAGGUCCGCGCUUCGGCUAGGAUGCUGGCGUAAUGGUUGUAAGCGACCCGUCUUGUAACACGGACCAAGGAGUCUAAC